rnacentral:rRNA from 1 species
CAGUAGCCACGGGAAUACAGAGGGUGCGAGCGUUAAUUGGAUUUACUGGGCGUAAAGCGUGCGUAGGCGGCUUUUUAAGUCGGAUGUGAAAUCCCUGAGCUUAACUUAGGAAUUGCAUUCGAUACUGGGAAGCUAGAGUAUGGGAGAGGAUGGUAGAAUUCCAGGUGUAGCGGUGAAAUGCGUAGAGAUCUGGAGGAAUACCGAUGGCGAAGGCAGCCAUCUGGCCUAAUACUGACGCUGAGGUACGAAAGCAUGGGGAGCAAACAGGAUUAGAUACCCCAGUAGUCCCUGUCUCUUAUAA